CUGAGAAGGACCUGCCUCCAGUCACCAGAAGAAGGACAAGAGUUGUAAACUGCUGAUGCAAAUAGACAGAAGCAGCUCUUCCACUGGCAAGGUGUACAGCAUAUAUGUUGUGCCUUUGGUGACAGAAAUGAGGAUUAAAAGCACUGAAGUUUCUGCAACUCCAUCUCUUCAAGCACUUUCUGAUAAUUCUACCAUGAAAUUAAAAAAACAGCAGGACCAGAGCAAACCUCACUGUAAGUUGUGCUUCCUCCAUUUGUAAAGGAAUCCAGAUAAACUGUAGAUUUAUAUCACCUAAAUGAGAUUGUUGUGCCACACAGGCUCCCCAGCAUCCUGCAUGGAGUCAGUGUCCCAUCGUGCCACUCUGUUGUCUCGGUGGUCAGAAUUCAGGUUCAUCUGCAGUGAGGUGCGCUGCAUCCCUGCCUUCCCUCACAGAUCACAAGAAGCCUGUCCUUGAAUGGGGUAAAUAAGGCCAAGCUUGUUAUUUGCUCUGUGGGACUGUUCUCCGCAAAGGAGACACACGCAGCCUUUGGAGAGCCACACUGAGCGUCCGGGCUGAUC